AUUAGGUGGUCCUGUAAAGGGCUGGGAUCUGAAGCCACCUGAAGAUUCCUUACAACUCCUAUCCCGACACGUCCACGUCGUGCAGGGUGGUAACAUGGGCCCAAGUCCAUCCCAAAGACGACGGCUCAUGGCUAAGAGGGCAGGG
rnacentral:ribozyme from 1 species